GAUUGCUUGCGGGAACGACCUGGCAAUCGAGCUGCGCACUGUGCGGGGAACGCUUUCACAAGCUCACCGAGCGACUGGCGUUAAGCUGAGUGCGCGAAUGCCUAGUGUCUUCGGCGCAACGGGACACUGACGCUGCUCUCUUGUUUCCCUUAGAAUAGUGGUGUAAGGCACGUGAUCGCGCACGGGGUCUGUGUUCGAUGAGUCACGUGCCCGCUGCGCCUGUGUGUGUUGAUGAUGCGCGAACAAGGUAUGAAGUGAUCGAGUGUUGUAACGUUUAGGUCCUUCUCUGGCGUGAUAUGAGCGGGGGAUAGGAAUUAAUCGCGAACAUAGCGACCGGUUACUCGGGGAAGUGCAUGCAGGCUGCCGUUGACUGUUACGAGGAUCGCGGGGAGCGCGCUCGAGUCGCUGCUCUUGUUCAAGGGGCUCUCACGAUGCUGAGUCGCAAUGCGUGAGCGGUUCGCGCUGGUUAGCAGGGCGACCUGCUGUUCGAGCUUCUGCGUGACACGCUCUGCGCAGCGCAUGUCAUUUUCAAUAUCGGAUAGUGUUGAUGAGGACUCGCUGGGCGAGCGCCAGCGCGAGCUGUGCUCCGGAUCAGCAGAAACUGGGCUGCGCAGCAGAGUGUCCGCUGGUGAGGGGUGCUCGUGCGCUGGGCUUUCUCCGGCAGAGUGAACAUGCUCGGCGAGUGCGCAGGGUGAGGGAUCUUCCGAUGCCGAGUCGUCGCCCGUACUAGGGACCAGACCGGCAGCGAUCUCCCGCCGUACUGCAGCAGCCUCGACCCGCAAGGCAGCGUUUGCGAGCAUCAUUCCCUCCAGCGUCGUCACGAGAUUUUCAAUAACGUCAAUGGGUGGCACCCUGGCAAAUGCACUCGCAACUAGUUUGGUAUGCUCGCCACUCGCGUCACCACAAGCAGAUGCAUGUCUUUGGAGCAGACUAGCGGCUUCGUUCAAAAGUCUUGCAUGGUCGGAAUCGGUGCAGUCUCCUAGAAGAGAACGCAAUCGAGAAGCGAGCGCGCCGAAAACCUCCGAAUGACUCGCACACAAUUGGUCGAGGGAGCUGCUUGACGCAUUCGUGAAAUCCCGAGCAUAGGGUGGAUCCCACUCCAUCGAGUCCGUAUUGGCUUUGUGCUGGAAGGCGCCUUCGUCACUGGUAUCGAUCGGAUCUCUCUGCUUCUGGUGUUUGUUGCUGGAUCGACAGCAAUCCUCGUGACGAAGGGUAGCUGUUCGCUGGUUCGCUGGACGUGGUCCGCUCGUCUCGAUGGACAGGCUCGGUGAUGCAGAUCGCCGCGAGUCAUGAUCGACUUGUUCAGCUUGUUCCUCGUAUGGUCGGGGCACGGGCUCUCCGGUGAUCUGAGACGCAGAAGCAGCCGGUCUUGACUCGGCUGUACUCGCUUUCGCAUCGGGCUCGGCGUCUGCAGUUAUCGUUUUGCCACUGCCAACAUCUUCGCUCUUCGACGAGGGCAUUUCAAGAUUCCUGCAACCGAUUUGCGCCACGUCUCGCGAGCCUCUCAAUAAAGCAUAUGAGCGACGAGUAUCAGGUUCUGGGGACUUGCCUGAAGGCAGCCCCCUGUGACCUGGAGCUGCUUGGGAGUCGUCCGCGAAACGCACGCAGACUGAUCCAGGACGGCCUGCAAGCCCCAGUACAGAGUCGCUUUGCGAGCCACGCUGACCCUCACAAAUCGCUUCCGUAUCCGGGUCAGCGUCCUCGGCUGGCCGUGGUGCACAGCUGUCCUCGGUACACCUGUGUCUCCAAAAGGAUGCGCGAGAGUUCGCGGCAACGUGAACGAGUGCUCGCGUUCGCAGCUCGAGAAACCUCCAGCAUGCUACAAUUAUCAGGCGCAGCUUGCACCAUACAUAAACUGCGCGACGAAGAAUCGCCCUCCACCAGAUUCCCA